UAUGGCCAUAUAACUUUGAAAUAUUGGUUCUCAUAAGGUCACAGAAGUUAAGCAACAUUGAGCCUAGUCAGUACCCAGAUAGGUGACUGCUUGGGAAUACCAGGUGCUGUAAG